rnacentral:rRNA from 1 species
UUUUAUCGGAGAGUUUGAUCCUGGCUCAGGACGAACGCUGGCGGCGUGCCUAAUACAUGCAAGUCGAGCGGAUCGAUGGGAGCUUGCUCCCUGAGAUCAGCGGCGGACGGGUGAGUAACACGUGGGUAACCUGCCUGUAAGACUGGGAUAACUCCGGGAAACCGGGGCUAAUACCGGAUAACU